CAAUAGCGUAUAUUAAAGUUGUUGCGGUUAAAAAGCUCGUAGUUGGAUUUCUGCCGAGGACGUCCGGUCCGCCCUCUGGGUGAGUACAUGGCACGGCCUGGGCAUCUUCUUGGGGAACGUAUCUGCACUUGACUGUGUGGUGCGGUAUCCAGGACUUUUACUUUGAGGAAAUUAGAGUGUUUCAAGCAGGCACACGCCUUGAAUACAUUAGCAUGGAAUAAUAAGAUAGGACCUCGGUUCUAUUUUGUUGGUUUCUAGAGCUGAGGUAAUGAUUAAUAGGGAUAGUUGGGGGCAUUCGUAUUUAACUGUCAGAGGUGAAAUUCUUGGAUUUGUUAAAGACAGACUACUGCGAAAGCAUUUGCCAAGGAUGUUUUCAUUGA
rnacentral:rRNA from 1 species